rnacentral:rRNA from 1 species
CCUACGGGCGGCUGCAGUGGGGAAUAUUGGACAAUGGGCGAAAGCCUGAUCCAGCCAUGCCGCGUGUGUGAAGAAGGCCUUCGGGUUGUAAAGCACUUUCAGUGGGGAAGAAAGCCUUGGGGCUAAUACCCUCGAGGAAGGACAUCACCCACAGAAGAAGCACCGGCUAACUCCGUGCCAGCAGCCGCGGUAAUACGGAGGGUGCGAGCGUUAAUCGGAAUUACUGGGCGUAAAGCGCGCGUAGGCGGUCUGAUAAGCCGGUUGUGAAAGCCCCGGGCUCAACCUGGGAACGGCAUCCGGAACUGUCAGGCUAGAGUGCAGGAGAGGAAGGUAGAAUUCCUGGUGUAGCGGUGAAAUGCGUAGAGAUCGGGAGGAAUACCAGUGGCGAAGGCGGCCUUCUGGACUGACACUGACGCUGAGGUGCGAAAGCGUGGGUAGCAAACAGGAUUAGAUACCCCGGUAGUC